UACGUAGGGGGCUAGCGUUGUCCGGAAUCAUUGGGCGUAAAGCGCGUGUAGGCGGUCCGGUAAGUCCGCUGUGAAAGUCGGGGGGCUCAACCCUCGGAUGCCGGUGGAUACUGUCGGGCUUGAGUACGGAAGAGGCGAGUGGAAUUCCUGGUGUAGCGGUGAAAUGCGCAGAUAUCAGGAGGAACACCAAUUGCGAAGGCAGCUCGCUGGGACGUUACUGACGCUGAGACGCGAAAGUGCGGGGAUCAAACAGG
rnacentral:rRNA from 1 species